CCUACGGGUGGCAGCAGUGGGGAAUAUUGCACAAUGGGCGAAAGCCUGAUGCAGCAACGCCGCGUGAAGGAAGAAGGGUUUCGGCUCGUAAACUUCUAUCAACAGGGACGAAAGAAAUGACGGUACCUGAAUAAGAAGCCUCGACUAACUAUGUGCCAGCAGUCGCGGUAAUACGUAGGGGGCAAGCGUUAUCCGGAGUUACUGGGUGUAAAGGGUUAGUAGGCGGCAUGGUAAGGUAGAUGUGAAAGCCUUGGGCUUAACCCGAAGAUUGCAUUUGGAACUAUCAGGCUAGAGUACAGGAGAGGAAGGCGGAAUUCCUGGUGUAGCGGUGAAAUGCGUAGAUAUUAGGAAGAACACCGGUGGCGAAGGCGGCUUUCUGGACUGAAACUGACGCUGAGGCACGAAAGCGUGGGGAGCGAACAGGAUUAGAUACCCGGGUAGUC
rnacentral:rRNA from 1 species